rnacentral:rRNA from 1 species
UUCCGGUUGAUCCUGCCGGACCCUACUGCUAUCGGGGUGGGACUAAGACAUGCAAGUUGUGCGCGCCAGACGCGGCAUACGGCUCAGUAACACGUGGCUAACCUACCCUUAGGACGGGGACAAACCCGGGAAACUGGGGCUAAUACCCGAUAGGCGAGGGCGCCUGGAAUGGUUCUUCACCCAAAGCUUUUCCGCCUGGGGAUGGGGCCGCGUCCGAUCAGGUUGUUGGUGAGGCAAUGGCUCACCAAACCUAUAACCGGUACGGGCCGUGGGAGCGGGAGCCCGGAGAUGGGAACUGAGACAAGGUCCCAGGCCCUACGGGGCGCAGCAGUUACGAAAACUUGUCAAUGCACGAAAGUGUGAACGGGCUACCCCGAGUGCCGUCCGCUGAGGAUGGCUUUUCUCUGCUGUAAGAAGGCGGAGGAAUAAGGCGAGGGCAAGUCUGGUGUCAGCCGCCGCGGUAAUACCAGCUCGCCGAGUGGUAGGGAUGAUUAUUGGGCCUAAAGCAUCCGUAGCUGGCCAGGUUAGUCCCCUGUUAAACCCACCGAAUUAAUCGUUGGAGUGCGGGGGAUACUGCUCGGCUAGGGGACGAGAGAGGCCGACGGUAUUUUCGGGGUAGGGGUGAAAUCCUAUAAUCCCGGGAAGACCACCAGUGGCGAAGGCUGUCGGCUAGAACGCGCCCGACGGUGAGGGAUGAAAGCUGGGGGAGCGAACCGGAUUAGAUACCCGGGUAGUCCCAGCUGUAAACGAUGCAGGCUAGGUGUUUGGGCGGCCACGGGCCGCUCUAGUGCCGCAGGGAAGCUGUUAAGCCUGCCGCCUGGGGAGUACGGCCGCAAGGCUGAAACUUAAAGGAAUUGGCGGGGGAGCACCACAAGGGGUGAAGCUUGCGGUUUAAUUGGAUUCAACGCCGGA